rnacentral:rRNA from 1 species
AGUGAACGCUGGCGGUAGGCCUAACACAUGCAAGUCGAACGGCAGCACAGUAAGAGCUUGCUCUUACGGGUGGCGAGUGGCGGACGGGUGAGGAAUACAUCGGAAUCUACUUUUUCGUGGGGGAUAACGUAGGGAAACUUACGCUAAUACCGCAUACGACCUACGGGUGAAAGCAGGGGAUCUUCGGACCUUGCGCGAUUGAAUGAGCCGAUGUCGGAUUAGCUAGUUGGCGGGGUAAAGGCCCACCAAGGCGACGAUCCGUAGCUGGUCUGAGAGGAUGAUCAGCCACACGGGAACUGAGACACGGUCCAGACUCCUACGGGAGGCAGCAGUGGGGAAUAUUGGACAAUGGGGGCAAGCCUGAUCCAGCCAUACCGCGUGGGUGAAGAAGGCCUUCGGGUUGUAAAGCCCUUUUGUUGGGAAAGAAAAGCAGCAGGUUAAUACCCCGCUGUUCUGACGGUACCCAAAGAAUAAGCACCGGCUAACUUCGUG